AGUGAACGUUGGCGGCGUGGAUUAGGCAUGCAAGUCGAGCGAGAACCGUAGCAAUACGGGGACAGCGGCGAAAGGGACAGUAAUGUGUAGGUACCUACCCCGAGGUCUGGGAUAGCUGCGGGAAACUGCAGGUAAUACCGGAUAAUGUCUUCGGACCAAAGGUGUGAUUCCACCUUGGGAGGGGCCGGCAUCCUAUUAGCUUGUUGGGGGGGUAACGGCCCACCAAGGCGACGAGGGGUAGCGGGUGUGAGAGCACGACCCGCGUCAUUGGGGCGGCGACACUGCCCAGACACCUACGGGUGGCUGGAGUCGUGAAUCUUCGGGAAUGGGCGCAAGCCUGACCGUGCGCCGACGCGUGCGGGAUGAAGGCUUUCGGGUUGUAAACCGCUGUCGUAGAGUAGGAAAUGCAGGGGGGUUCUCCCCUCUGUUUGACCUAUUCUAGGAGGAAGUACGGGCUAAGUUCGUGCCAGCAGCCGCCGUAA
rnacentral:rRNA from 1 species